UGUGCUGCCUUGGACAGUGGCCCAAACGUGGAAUAUUUCCCUGGGUCACUCUGGCCCAGAUCAGAAGUGAAACUGUGUGAGCAGGGGAAUGAGUGUGAGUGUCCGUGUCCGUGUGUGUGUGUGUGUGUGUGUGUGUGUGUAUGAGAGAGAGAGGGGUCUUCAGCUUAUCUACUUAUUCUAGUCCAAUUUCUGGAUUUUCCCAUGCCUGCCCUAGAGAGAGGGAGAUACCAUUUCUCUGAAGAAACAUCAAGUUGUGAUAUUUUCCCCUCUGCAGCGGAGCUGAGAAGAGCAGUUCUGGUGGAUUGAGAGGCUUUUGUCUUUGUAUUUGCUGUGGAGAAAUGAAAGUCCAUGGCCAAAAGGGGGGACUAUGGAGAUGGGUCUGACUGCAGCCUACUGGGACAAGCACUGAGGAUCUCAAGUCUCAGAAACAUUCAUAAUCUGCCGGCUACAUGUAUUUCUUGCCCCUUGCCCAAGGGGGAGUGUACAUGACAUGACCCUUAGGCACUAGAACCCGGGGCUUCAUGCAGCAGGUCUAGCAGCAGAACCCAGACUGACUGUCAAUCAGAGGGGUUACCAUACCCACCGAGACGCUGGAAGAAGCUUACCCCUGACCAUCCAUGAGGCAGGAAUUGUCCUUCAGCCCAGUAGCUUCCAU